AUUUCAAUCUGGAAAAUAGCCAAGUCGCCUCAUUUGAUGAACCUCAACCUGCGUCACUGAAAACAGAUGUUUGCCAUCAGAGAAAAUGAAUGCGACUGAACCUGUGGAUAAAUGAAUACAACAAAUAUCAAGAGAGAGAGAGAAAAAAGCAGGUGCUGGGCCUGGAGGACAGGGGGAUCUGGACCAGACCACAGCUGAAGACCGCACUUGGGCGCAACUUCUGUCAGCAAAGAACAGGAAACUGUUCACAUGAGAUCAACAAAAGUGGAAAACAGAAGAUUGAAAAAUGUUGCCUGGUCUGAUGGAAUUUGUCUUAAACAUAACAUGAAAACAUGGAUCCAUCCUGCCUUGUAUCAGGAAAUCUGAGCAAAUGAAACCACAACUUUAAAAAAAUACUUGCGGCUCGCACAUUAACGUGAAGAAAUACUUACAAAAAUUAUUAUUUUCCUCUGAACCAAUAAAGUACGAUUGGCGCAGCC